rnacentral:lncRNA from 1 species
GGGCCCCCCUCCUCCGCUUGAGCAGAUUCCACCUGCAAUUUAGGAGUGCUGCAUUGCAGAGUUCUGAGAUUCUGCGGUGUUUAGGAGGAAAAUGCUCGACGUCGCCACUGCCACCUUCAUCCAGGGUUCGAUGAUUGCAAGACCCAUCUGCUGAGGAUAAUGCCAUAUCUAGAACUUCACAGCAUACAAGUUAGUAGUACCGACGAAGAGGUAGAGAUCUUGAUGGAUGAAGAUUGAAUCAGCUCAUCCGGAUGGUGAGGAGGUGAAGUCC